rnacentral:rRNA from 1 species
AGGGGUAGAGUUAGCUUGCUAACUUGAGACCGGCGCACGGGUGCGUAACGCGUAUGCAAUCUACCUUUUGCAGAGGGAUAGCCCAGAGAAAUUUGGAUUAAUACCUCAUAGUAUAUAUGAAUGGCAUCAUUUAUAUAUUAAAGUCACAACGGCAAAAGAUGAGCAUGCGUCCCAUUAGCUAGAUGGUAAGGUAACGGCUUACCAUGGCUACGAUGGGUAGGGGUCCUGAGAGGGAGAUCCCCCACACUGGUACUGAGACACGGACCAGACUCCUACGGGAGGCAGCAGUGAGGAAUAUUGGACAAUGGGCGCAAGCCUGAUCCAGCCAUGCCGCGUGCAGGAUGACGGUCCUAUGGAUUGUAAACUGCUUUUGUACGGGAAGAAACCCUCCUACGUGUAGGAGCUUGACGGUACCGUAAGAAUAAGGAUCGGCUAACUCCGUGCCAGCAGCCGCGGUAAUACGGAGGAUCCAAGCGUUAUCCGGAAUCAUUGGGUUUAAAGGGUCCGUAGGCGGUUUAGUAAGUCAGUGGUGAAAGCCCAUCGCUCAACGGUGGAACGGCCAUUGAUACUGCUAGACUUGAAUUAUUAGGAAGUAACUAGAAUAUGUAGUGUAGCGGUGAAAUGCUUAGAGAUUACAUGGAAUACCAAUUGCGAAGGCAGGUUACUACUAAUGGAUUGACGCUGAUGGACGAAAGCGUGGGUAGCGAACAGGAUUAGAUACCCUGGUAGUCCACGCCGUAAACGAUGGGUACUAGCUGUUGGGCGCAAGUUCAGUGGCUAAGCGAAAGUGAUAAGUAUCCCACCUG